CAGUCGCCACGGGAAUACGUAGGGUGCAAGCGUUAAUCGGAAUUACUGGGCGUAAAGCGUGCACAGGCGGUUAUAUAAGACAGAUGUGAAAUCCCCGGGCUCAACCUGGGACCUGCAUUUGUGACUGUAUAGCUAGAGUACGGUAGAGGGGGAUGGAAUUCCACGUGUAGCAGUGAAAUGCGUAGAUAUGCGGAGGAACACCGAUGGCGAAGGCAAUCCCCUGGACCUGUACUGACGCUCAUGCACGAAAGCGUGGGGAGCAAACAGGAUUAGAUACCCGGGUAGUCCCUGUCUCUUAUAC
rnacentral:rRNA from 1 species